AACGAACGCUGGCGGCAUGCCUAACACAUGCAAGUCGAACGAGACCUUCGGGUCUAGUGGCGCACGGGUGCGUAACGCGUGGGAACCUGCCUUUAGGUUCGGAAUAACUCAGAGAAAUUUGAGCUAAUACCGGAUAAUGUCUUCGGACCAAAGAUUUAUCGCCUUUAGAUGGGCCCGCGUUGGAUUAGCUAGUUGGUGGGGUAAAGGCCUACCAAGGCGACGAUCCAUAGCUGGUCUGAGAGGAUGAUCAGCCACACUGGGACUGAGACACGGCCCAGACUCCUACGGGAGGCAGCAGUGGGGAAUAUUGGACAAUGGGCGAAAGCCUGAUCCAGCAAUGCCGCGUGAGUGAUGAAGGCCUUAGGGUUGUAAGCUCUUUACCGAGAUGAUAAUGACAGUAUCGGGAGAAUAAGCUCCGGCUAACUCCGUGCCAGCAGCCGCGGUAAU
rnacentral:rRNA from 1 species